rnacentral:lncRNA from 1 species
UUGGAUUCAGACACAUGACCAUAGAGUAAGGACAAUACCUCAACAAUGGAUUCAUUUCCCAAUUCAUUAAGAUCCACAAUUUCAUUCCUAGAAAAUAUAAAAAAUAAAUUCUCAUCCUCAAAAUCAAUCCUUGAAAGAUACAGAAACACAACUACAUUAUGAGAUUGAAUACAUUUUGAUUAAGGAUGAAAAGUAAUAACCUAUUAACAGAUAAACAAUCUUUGAAAACAUGUAUGAAUUGCUUAGGCAGCUUGAAGUGACUUAGUAUGCCUUCGAAUUGUCAAGCAUUUCACCUGCAUGAAACACCAUCUUUAGUUUAGAUUACACAAGAAUAUAGGAAGUAAAGAGCAUUUUACUGUUGACAUGUGAGCACUUUCCACAAAAAAUUGGACUUAUUGAUGAAAUAGUAUAAGUUUGUGUUACCCUUCUUAAUAAGAGUAAAGGUUAAAAAGAAAUUAACUAAAACCUUAUUACCUUCGAACAACCAUGGUGAUUUUUCCAACAUCCUCACCAUGUUGCAUUAUAUUCUGAUCUGAGCCUGCAUAUAUUACACAAAAUCAAGAGCAAAUACCACUAGAUCAACCAUUCAAUCAUUAUCUCAUAACACUCAUUUAAUAGUUUUAACUGUAAAAACUCUGACAUUUCUCUCAAACAUUUCAUCAAACAGAUUAUGUGCAUCAGAGAAACAUGCAAGAGAACUUACAAUACCAGGGAAAGGGUCACUAAAAACGAAUGUGUACACAUUAUUUUAACUGAUGAUGGUGUGGGAAGAUAAAAGACGCUCCGAUCUUCUUACAGAUAAAGGUUCGAUACAUUGUAGGUUGUGGUGGUGGUAGUCUCCUUUAAAGUGAUUUAGGCCAGGGAAACUGCAUGUCGUUUUAAUUAUAAACAAUAUCACCAAGAUUUAGGGAUUUGAUGUAUUUUAAAAUUUGAAGCACUGAUUUGGUUUACAAAAAUAUUGGAGAAAUUGUAGAAGAAACGGUUGAACAAGAGAAUGUUCCCAAAUUUCUUGCUAUUUUUUUUUUGGAAAAUAUCGAUUUGAAACUACUGAAAAGAAGGAGUAUAUGUUUGACUGUAAGGGCAAAUGCGGAAUUUCACUAAGAAAUUUUGAGCGGGAAAAUUAGAUUGGGG